rnacentral:rRNA from 1 species
UACAGACGGUCCAAACGUUAUUCGGAAUCACUGGGCUUAAAGAGUUCGUAGGCGGUCAGGAAAGUGGGGUGUGAAAGCCCUCGGCUUAACCGAGGAAUUGCGCUCCAAACUCCCUGACUUGAGGAGACUAGAGGUAAGCGGAACUGAUGGUGGAGCGGUGAAAUGCGUUGAUAUCAUCAGGAACACCGGAGGCGAAGGCGGCUUACUGGGGCCUUUCUGACGCUGAGGAACGAAAGCUAGGGGAGCGAACGGG